CACACCGUAAACGAUGGAUACUAGGUGUAUGAGGUAUCGACCCCUUAUGUGCCGGAGCUAACGCAUUAAGUAUCCCGCCUGGGGAGUACGAUCGCAAGAUUGAAACUCAAAGGAAUUGACGGGGGCCCGCACAAGUGGUGGAGCAUGUGGUUUAAUUCGACGCUACGCGAAGAACCUUACCUGGGUUUGACAUCCUUCGGAAGUCGGCAGAGAUGCCGGUGCCUUCGGGCCGGAGGACAGGUGC
rnacentral:rRNA from 1 species